rnacentral:rRNA from 1 species
ACGGGUGAGUAAUAUAUCGGAACGUGCCCAAUCGUGGGGGAUAACGUAGAGAAAUUUACGCUAAUACCGCAUACGAUCUAAGGAUGAAAGCGGGGGAUCGCAAGACCUCGCGCGAUUGGAGCGGCUGAUAUCAGAUUAGGUUGUUGGUGAGGUAAAAGCUCACCAAGCCGACGAUCUGUAGCUGGUUUGAGAGAACGACCAGCCACACUGGGACUGAGACACGGCCCAGACUCCUACGGGAGGCAGCAGUGGGGAAUUUUGGACAAUGGGCGAAAGCCUGAUCCAGCAAUGCCGCGUGCAGGAAGAAGGCCUUCGGGUUGUAAACUGCUUUUGUACGGAACGAAAAAGCUCUUUCUAAUAAAGAGGGCUCAUGACGGUACCGUAAGAAUAAGCACCGGCUAACUACGUGCCAGCAGCCGCGGUAAUACGUAGGGUGCGAGCGUUAAUCGGAAUUACUGGGCGUAAAGCGUGCGCAGGCGGUUAUAUAAGACAGUUGUGAAAUCCCCGGGCUCAACCUGGGAAUUGCAUCUGUGACUGUAUAGCUAGAGUACGGUAGAGGGGGAUGGAAUUCCGCGUGUAGCAGUGAAAUG